UNUGACUUGAGUGCAGAAGGGGAGAGUGGAAUUCCAUGUGUAGCGGUGAAAUGCGUAGAUAUAUGGAGGAACACCAGUGGCGAAAGCGGCUCUCUGGUCUGUCACUGACGCUGAGGCUCGAAAGCGUGGGUAGCGAACAGGAUUAGAUACCCUGGUAGUNCACGCCGUAAACGAUGAGUGCUAGGUGUUAGGCCCUUUCCGGGGCUUAGUGCCGGAGCUAACGCAAUAAGCACUCCGCCUGGGGAGUACGACCGCAAGGUUGAAACUCAAAGGAAUUGACGGGGGCCCGCACAAGCGGUGGAGCAUGUGGUUUAAUUCGAAGCAACGCGAAGAACCUUACCAGGUCUUGACAUCCCGAUGCUAUUCUUAGAGAUAGGAAGUUACUUCGGUACAUCGGAGACAGGUGGUGCAUGGUUGUCGUCAGCUCGUGUCGUGAGAUGUUGGGUUAAGUCCCGCAACGAGCGCAACCCUUAUUGUUAGUUGUCAUCAUUAAGUUGGGCACUCUAGCGAGACUGCCGGUAAUAAACCGGAGGAAGGUGGGGAUGACGUCAAAUCAUCAUGCCCCUUAUGACCUGGGCUACACACGUGCUACAAUGGUCGGUACAACGAGUUGCGAGCCGGUGACGGCAAGCUAAUCUCUGAAAGCCGAUCUCAGUUCGGAUUGGAGGCUGCAACUCGCCUCCAUGAAGUCGGAAUCGCUAGUAAUCGCGGAUCAGCACGCCGCGGUGAAUACGUUCCCGGGCCUUGUACACACCGCCCGUCACACCACGAGAGUUUGUAACACCCGAAGUCGGUGAGGUAACCUUUUAGGGNCCAG
rnacentral:rRNA from 1 species